rnacentral:lncRNA from 1 species
GCCACACUUCCGGCCUUUGUGGGCCGCAGCGACGGCGGUCUGCGGCUGUCGGUUCUGUUUGUUGCUGUCACUGCUGUUUGUUCUUGCCAGCGGCUAGGGUCUGGCUGUUUUGCCCAGAAUGGAGUGCAGUGGCGUGAUGGUCUCGGCUGACAGCAGCCUCGACCUCCUGGGCUCAAGCCUUGGCCUCCCAAAGUGCUGGGAUUACAGAGUCAAGUCCCUCCUCCCACCUCAGCACUGCUAGAAAAGAGCUUCAGGAUGGAGCCACACAUGUCACUCAAGCCCAAGGGUCAGUCAACAGCCCACAGCCCUAAAUUCAUCUGUGUCCAAUGCCAGACCCUGCAACUGCUGAUUUACAUGAAUCAACUCCAUCAUGCAAGCCUCAUGACAUCCCAAUGAGCCACCAUCCUGUGAGGAAGCCCAGAGCACAUGAAGAGACCACCUGCACAUGUUCAGAUCCACUGCCCCAGCUAAGAUCUCCGCUGACAGCCAGACCAAUCACCAAUCUUAGGAGCUGGCGAGCCUUCAGAUGGUCCAACCUUUGAGGCCCCCCAGAGGAGCCAGGUGGAGCAUAGAUGAGCCAUCCAUGUGGAUCCCUCCACCAAAUGGAAGAUUUAGGAGCAAAAUAAACAAUGUUGUCAUUGCUUUCACCCACGAAA